rnacentral:tRNA from 1 species
GCCGAAGUGGAGAAAUUGGUAAACUCGCCUGCCUUAGGAGCAGGUGCUUUACAGCUUGAGGGUUCGAGUCCCUCCUUCGGCA